rnacentral:rRNA from 1 species
UGAGUACGAGCGGCUACGGCCGCGAAGUGGAUGAUGUCAAGCUUCCAAGAAAAGCCCUAUACCCGUUAAGGCAUGAUGGCCUGUACCCGAAACCGACACAGGUGGGGUGGUAGAGAAUACCGAGGGGCGCGAGGUAACUCUCUCUAAGGAACUCGGCAAAAUGGCCCCGUAACUUCGGGAGAAGGGGUGCCACCGCGAGGUGGUCGCAGUGAAGAGGCCCAGGCGACUGUUUACCAAAAACACAGGUCUCCGCUAAGUCGCAAGACGAUGUAUGGGGGCUGACGCCUGCCCAGUGCCGGAAGGUUAAGGAAGCUGGUCAGCGCAAGCGAAGCUGGCGACUGAAGCCCCGGUGAACGGCGGCCGUAACUAUAACGGUCCUAAGGUAGCGAAAUUCCUUGUCGGGUAAGUUCCGACCCGCACGAAAGGCGUAACGAUCUGGGCGCUGUCUCGGAGAGAGGCUCGGCGAAAUAGAAUUGUCUGUGAAGAUGCGGACUACGUGCACCCGGACAGAAAGACCCUAUGAAGCUUUACUGUAGCUUGGUAUUGUGCUCGGGCUCGGAAUGCGCAGGAUAGGUGGGAGGCUUUGAUCCAUUGCUUGCGGGUGAUGGUGAGCCACUGGUGAGAUACCACUCUUUCCGAGCUAGAGUUCUAACAGCAACCCGUUAUCCGGGUGCUGGACAGUAUCAGGUGGGCAGUUUGACUGGGGCGGUCGCCUCCUAAAAGGUAACGGAGGCGCGCAAAGGUCUGCUCAGGCUGGUUGGAAAUCAGCCGACGAGUGUAAAAGCAGAAGCAGGCUUGACUGUGAGACCUACAAGUCGAACAGGGAGGAAACUCGGCUUUAGUGAUCCGACGGUUCUGCGUGGAAGGGCCGUCGCUCAACGGAUAAAAGUUACUCUAGGAUAACAGGCUGAUCUCCCCCAAGAGUUCACAUCGACGGGGAGGUUUGGCACCUCGAUGUCGGCUCAUCGCAACCUGGGGCUGAAGUCGGUCCCAAGGGUUGGGCUGUUCGCCCAUUAAAGCGGUACGCGAGCUGGGUUCAGAACGUCGUGAGACAGUUCGGUCCAUAUCCGGUGCACGCGCAGGAAUAUUGAGAGGAUUUCUCCCUAGUACGAGAGGACCGGGAGGAACGCACCUCUGGUGUGCCAGUUAUCGUGCCAACGGUAAACGCUGGGUAGCCAUGUGCGGAGUGGAUAACCGCUGAAAGCAUCUAAGUGGGAAGCCCACCUCAAGAUGAGUAUUCCCAUGGCAUAAGCCAGUAAGGUCACGGGAAGAACACCCGUUGAUAGGCUCUACGUGGAAGCGCAGUAAUGUGUGAAGCGGAGGAGUACUAAUAGACCGAGGGCUAGACC